rnacentral:rRNA from 1 species
GACGAACGCUGGCGGCGUGCUUAACACAUGCAAGUCGAACGGAAAGGCCCUGCUUUUGUGGGGUGCUCGAGUGGCGAACGGGUGAGUAACACGUGAGUAACCUGCCCUUGACUUUGGGAUAACUUCAGGAAACUGGGGCUAAUACCGGAUAGGAGCUCCUGCUGCAUGGUGGGGGUUGGAAAGUUUCGGCGGUUGGGGAUGGACUCGCGGCUUAUCAGCUUGUUGGUGGGGUAGUGGCUUACCAAGGCUUUGACGGGUAGCCGGCCUGAGAGGGUGACCGGCCACAUUGGGACUGAGAUACGGCCCAGACUCCUACGGGAGGCAGCAGUGGGGAAUAUUGCACAAUGGGCGGAAGCCUGAUGCAGCAACGCCGCGUGCUGGAUGACGGCCUUCGGGUUGUAAACCGCUUUCGCCUGUGACGAAGCGUGAGUGACGGUGAUGGGUAAAGAAGCACCGGCUAACUACGUG